GGGAUAUUUAGCAUAGAAAAAAUAAUUGUGAUUAAUCGCGAUUGCUUGCGAUUAAUCGCGAGUUAACUAUGACAUUAAUGUGAUUAAUCGCGAUUAAAUAUUGUAAUCGCUUGACAGCACUAGUAUAUAUAUAUUGUAUUGAACGUUUUAUACUUAUAUUAUACUUGUGGUGGCCCAGCCGCUGAGCAGUGCCCCACAUGGCCACGGGGUGGCCACAAAGGCAGGCAAAGGCAGCCAAGGGGUGUGGUUCUGGAUGGGAGGUACUACUCAGCUUACCCUGCACAGGUGCGCUGAGUUAGCCCUGCAAUCAGAGGGCCCUUUUUAACUCCACCAGAACAGGCUGAAGACAGACUGGCUGGAGGAGCGUGUGGAGACCAGAGACACGUUAGGCCAGUCUCAUGGAAGAGCCAGAAAGGGCACCCUGACGACAGCCGCCAACCCGGUGAAGAUUUGAGUUGCCUUUUGCCCCCUCCCUUUUCCCCUGCACCUUUUUAUAAAUAAAUGACUUAAAUUGAUUUCACCGCAACCCCCCCGCUUCCGCCUGUCCUGUUCUGAUUGGUGAUCCCACUGUUGUACCUCAGAGACCAGGCGCCCACAUAUGGUGGAGAAUGCAGGCAAUCUGAGUCCUCGCUAUCAGUGGGUGAACCGAUCGGAAUAGGAUUAAAAAAAAAAUAAAAAAAUCUAUAUAUAUUUUUUUUGAACAUGGAAGAAACCAUGAGAGCGAUCUUGGAAACCCAAGCCACGCUGCAGUCAGCUGUAGCUGAGUUGUGCAGGGUAAGCGGAAGACAAGAGCGACGACCACGAGAUGUGCUGACCAAGCAGACGCCGGAUGAUGACGUAGAGACAACUGGCCAAGAGCAGAAUGGGCGAACAACCUAAUGCCCUUCUUGACUGGGGAAGUUCAGAAAGCCUGUCGGGACCUUUCCGUUGCAGAUGCCAUGAACUAUGAUACGGUCAAGGUUGCCAUCCUGGCUCAGUAUGGACUUAGCCUUCCUGCACGGGCCCAGCGUGUGCAUGAAUGGAGCUAUGACCCUGCGGUUCCAGUCCGGGCCCAGGUAACGACACUGGUCCGUCAUACCAAGAGCUGGCUGGAGGAAGCUGCAGGGCCACCAAUAGUGGACCGUGUUGUGAUUGACCGGUGCCUCCGGGGACUGCCAAACGACGCCAAGAGGUAUGUCGCCCAGCAGGGGGCUCCAAGUGUGGACAGAUUAAUAGCCUUGCUGGAGAACCACAGGGUGAUGGGUAGCAUGAUGCGAUCAGAAAGUGUCAUGCAUACUAACUUUAAAGCCAACAGAGGGAAAGAGACCAGUGGCAAAGCUGUGAACACGCCAACAGCCUGGACACCGACUGGCUGGACCAGACAGAUGG
ensembl:lncRNA